GAUUGUAAAGCGUAGUCUACGGGCAGUCGAGCGGAUGAGGGAGCUUGCUCCUGGAUUCAGCGGCGGACGGGUGAGUAAUGCCUAGGAAUCUGCCUGGUAGUGGGGGAUAACGUCCGGAAACGGGCGCUAAUACCGCAUACGUCCUGAGGGAGAAAGUGGGGGAUCUUCGGACCUCACGCUAUCAGAUGAGCCUAGGUCGGAUUAGCUAGUUGGUGGGGUAAAGGCCUACCAAGGCGACGAUCCGUAACUGGUCUGAGAGGAUGAUCAGUCACACUGGAACUGAGACACGGUCCAGACUCCUACGGGAGGCAGCAGUGGGGAAUAUUGGACAAUGGGCGAAAGCCUGAUCCAGCCAUGCCGCGUGUGUGAAGAAGGUCUUCGGAUUGUAAAGCACUUUAAGUUGGGAGGAAGGGCAGUAAGUUAAUACCUUGCUGUUUUGACGUUACCAACAGAAUAAGCACCGGCUAACUUCGUGCCAGCAGCCGCGGUAAUACGAAGGGUGCAAGCGUUAAUCGGAAUUACUGGGCGUAAAGCGCGCGUAGGUGGUUCAGCAAGUUGGAUGUGAAAUCCCCGGGCUCAACCUGGGAACUGCAUCCAAACUACUGAGCUAGAGUACGGUAGAGGGUGGUGGAAUUUCCUGUGUAGCGGUGAAAUGCGUAGAUAUAGGAAGGAACACCAGUGGCGAAUGCGACCACCUGGACUGAUACUGACACUGAGUGCGAAAGCGUGGGGAGCAAACAGGAUUAGAUACCCUGGUAGUCCACGCCGUAAACGAUGUCGACUAGCCGUUGGGAUCCUUGAAAUCUUAGUGGCGCAGCUAACCGGAUAAGUCGACCGCCUGGGGAGUACGCCGCAAGGUAAACCCAAUGAAUGAGGGGGGCCCGGCCAGCGGUGGAGCAUGUGGUUAUUCGAAGCCACCCGAAGACCUACCUGGCCUUGACAUGCUGAGAA
rnacentral:rRNA from 1 species